UACGUAGGGUGCAAGCGUUGUCCGGAAUUAUUGGGCGUAAAGAGCGUGUAGGCGGCCCGGUAAGCCCGCUGUGAAAGUCGGGGGCUCAACCCUCGAAUGCCGGUGGAUACUGUCGGGCUAGAGUGCGGAAGAGGCGAGUGGAAUUCCUGGUGUAGCGGUGAAAUGCGCAGAUAUCAGGAGGAACACCAAUUGCGAAGGCAGCUCGCUGGGACGUAACUGACGCUGAGACGCGAAAGCGUGGGGAGCAAACAGG
rnacentral:rRNA from 1 species